AGGAAAAGGAGAGACGGAAGACAA
rnacentral:siRNA from 1 species